UUGCGCAUGGGCGAAAGCCUGNGCAGCAACGCCGCGUGGAGGACGAAGGCUUUCUGAGUUGUAAACUCCUUUCAGCAGGGACGAUUGUGACGGUACCUGCAGAAGAAGCACCGGCCAACUACGUGCCAGCAGCCGCGGUGAUACGUAGGGUGCAAGCGUUGUCCGGAUUUAUUGGGCGUAAAGAGCUCGUAGGCGGUUUGGUAAGUCGGGUGUGAAACCUCCAGGCUCAACCUGGAGCCGCCACUCGAUACUGCCAUGACUAGAAUGCGGUAGGGGACCACGGAAUUCCUGGUGUAGCGGUGAAAUGCGCAGAUAUCAGGAGGAACACCAGCAGCGAAGGCGGUGGUCUGGGCCGACAUUGACGCUGAGGAGCGAAAGCGUGGGGAGCGAACAGGAUUAGAUACCCUGGUAGUCCACGCCGUAAACGUUGGGCACUAGGUGUGGGGACUUUUCAACGGUUUCCGUGCCGCAGCUAACGCAUUAAGUGCCCCGCCUGGGGAGUACGGCCGCAAGGCCUAAAACUCAAAGAAAUUGACGGA
rnacentral:rRNA from 1 species